AAUACGUUCCCGGGCUUGUACACACCGCCCGUCACACCACGAAAGUCGGCAACACCCGAAGCCGGUGGCCUAACCCGUAAGGGAGGGAGCCGUCGAGGGUGGGGUUGGUGAUUGGGGUG
rnacentral:rRNA from 1 species